CUUAGAUCCUGGAUUCCAGCUCUUAGAUCCUGGAUUCUAAGUUCCUCCCCAGCUCUUAGAGCCUGGAUUCUAAGGUUCCCCCCCAGCUCUUAGAGCCUGGAUUCUAAGUUCCUCCCCAGCUCUUAUAUCCUGGAUUCUAGCUCUUAGAUCCUGGAUUCUAAGGUUCCCUCCCCAGCUCUUAGAGCCUGGAUUCUAGCUCUUAGAUCCUGGAUUCUAAGGUCCCCCCCCCAGCUCUUAGCCCCUGGAUUCUAAGGUUCUCCCCAGCUCUUAUAUCCUGGAUUCCAGCUCUUAGAUCCUGGAUUCUAAGUUCCUCCCCAGCUCUUAGAGCCUGGAUUCUAGCUCUUAGAUCCUAGAUUCUAAGGUUUCCCCCAGCUCUUAGAUCCUGGAUUCUAAGGUUCCCCCCCAGCUCUUAGAGCCUGGAUUCUAAGUUCCUCCCCAGCUCUUAUAUCCUGGAUUCUAGCUCUUAGAUCCUGGAUUCUAAGGUUCCCUCCCCAGCUCUUAGAGCCUGGAUUCUAGCUCUUAGAUCCUGGAUUCUAAGGUCCCCCCCCCAGCUCUUAGCCCCUGGAUUCUAAGGUUCUCCCCAGCUCUUAUAUCCUGGAUUCCAGCUCUUAGAUCCUGGAUUCUAAGUUCCUCCCCAGCUCUUAGCCCCUGGAUUCUAGCUCUUAGAUCCUAGAUUCUAAGGUUUCCCCCAGCUCUUAGAUCCUGGAUUCUAAGGUUUCCCCCAGCUCUUAGAUCCUGGAUUCUAAGGUUCUCCCCCAGCUCUUAGAUCCUGGAUUCUAAGUUCCUCCCCCGCUCUUAGCUCCUGGAGUCUAAGGUUCCCUCCCAGCUCUGACUUUCCUUAUCUUAAGCCUCCCAACUCUACCAUUCUCCGUUCUAAAGCCUCCUGGCUCAGACAUUCUCUGUGUAAGGUUCCCUCCCAACUAUGACAUCUCAUAUUCUAAAGCUCCCUCCAGCUCUGACAUUCUAGGUUCUAAGGUUCCUCCCAGCUCUGACACUCCGGGUUAUAAGGUUUCCUCCCAGUUCUAAAACUCUAGGUCCUAAGAUUCCUCCCAGCUCUGACAUUCUCCGCUCCAAGGCCCUCCCAGCUCUGACAUCCUGUGUUUCUUUUGAGGGACUUUCCAGUUCUGAGACUGGUUUUACCAGAUAAACAAACCAAAAUAAUUAGCUCCCGAGAGAGCGGAUGGGAGAAACACCGAAACGUGGGAAGACCCCGGUGAAUGGCCAUUCCAGCUCCCUGGCUUUGCCGCUUUCCUGCUGUCCUUGUCCCUUGGGGAGCCCAGCUCCCCUUCUAAAAUGAGGGGAGUGGGCCUGGGGCUGGUGGGGCUCAGGUUGGGCAGCACCUACCCGGGCCAACUCAAGUCAAGGCCUGAGGGACCUGAUGAAAAGGAUCGAGGGACCAGUUGAAAGGAUCGAGGGACCGGAUCGAAAGGACUGAGGGACCGGAUGGAAAGGACCAAGGGACCAGUCGAAAGGAUCGAGGGACUGAAUCAAAAGGACCGAGGGACCGGAUGGAAAACAGGAUCGAGGGACCAGAUCGAAAGGAUCGGGGGACUGGAUGGAAAGGAUCGGGGCGUUUAGCCCAGGAAGCUAAGACAAGGGCCGGGACACUAGAUCUGCUUUAAGGACUGAGAGGCCGGCCUGCCCAGGAGGGAUCCCUCUGCCCUGUUUGACCCCGGAGCACCGGGCCCAGAACAAAGGGAGGAAAUUACGAAGAGGCAGAUUUGGAAAAAGCUCCUUCACCGGGGGAGCUGCGGACGUUGGAGGCGGAGGCUCCUCCUCCCAGCUGGGCGGCGGGGAGGCCCUUGUUGUGCUCCUUGGCCACCGGGGCCCACCCGCUCCAGCUCUGGCCUUUUCAUUAGCCGGGCCUGAGAGGGAGAGUCUCAGACCCGGGAAGGAGAUUGAUGGGAAGACAGAAGCGGAUAGAGAGCCCCGGGGGGAGAGGGGGGAGACUCAGCUGGACAAGCAGCAGGGAGGGGCAGACGGGAUCUGAGGGAAGACAGAUGGCAGGGGUGGGGGAGAGCCCCCCACCUACGCCAGGCACACCCCAGCGGACAGUCGGAGGGUCUCCCGCCCGGCACCUGCUCCCGGCUAAUAAAGGAAGCCCCGGGCUCCCUUCCCAGCAGGGGCCCGGCAUGGAUUUGCAUAUGGCCUGCUUCAUUUGCAUAGGUUUAUAUUCAGAGAAGGCCCUUCCCCUCUUCAAACCCUCCCUGGGAUUCUGGGAGCCCGAGGAGCCCGUUUUAUAAAUGAAACUAAGGCAGGCCCCCCUGAGCUCCUGAUGUCCCAAGCCCCAGCCUUGGCUCGUCCAGGCCCAGCCCACACUGCCUCCCUCCUGGGAGCCUCUAAACUGGAGGGGAAGAGGAGACUCCCCUAGGUCAGGACAUUUCCAGCCUCAGUUUCCCCAUCUGUACAAAGAGGGAAAGGCUAAAAGGUUAACUUCCCGAGGCCAGACGGCUGGAACUUGAAAAUGACCAGAGAAAUGGGAGCCGUCGAGGCAAGGCCCCGGUCUCUGGAAGGGGCCGGCACCCCUGGCACCACAGGGACGGCCCAUUGGGCGGGCACCUUAAUGACCACAGGGGCAGUAGGAGGGAGUGAGGCGGAGGGGCAGAGCUUCUCCAGGCAGGAGAGGCCAGGGCAGGCGUCCAGAGAGCUGGGGCAGAGACCCACCGCGGCCCUGCUUUAAUGUGCAAUCUGGGCAAACCCUUCCCUCUCGGGACUUCAGGGGACCCGUUGGCAAGUGGGGAGACUCAAAGAGACGGGCUCUAAGCUCCCUUUUUUGUAUUAAAGCUUUUUAACUUUCAGAAGCUCUGCCUGGAUCAUUUUGGAUCAUUUUUCAACACUGACCCUUGCCAAGAAAGCCUUGGGCUCCACGUCCUCCCCCCCACCCUCUCCCCUGGAUGGCAAGUAAUCCAAUAUAUGUUAAACAUGAUGGAAAUAGAGGUUAAAUCCAUACAUGCAGGCACAAGAAAAAUCAAAUCGAAAAGGAAAAAAUAAGAAAAUAAAAUGCCAGCAAACAGCAGAGAGCGUGACAAUGCUGCGUCGUGGUCCACACUCAGUUCCCACAAUCCUCUCUGGGUGCGGAUGGCCCUCUCCAUCACUAGACAAUUGGAACUGGUUUAAAUCAUCUUCAUAUUGAAGAGCCGCGUCCAUCCGAACUGAUCAAGUCUUCUUGUUGCCGUGUAUGAUGAUCUCCCGGUCCCGCUCACUUCCCUCAGCAUCGGUUCCUGUCAGUCCCUCCAGGCCUCUCUGAAAUCAUCCUGCUGCUCGUUUCUUACAGAACAAUAAUAUUCCAUAAUAUUCGUAUAAAAUAACUCAUUCAGCUCUUCCCCAACUGAUGGGCAUCCACUCGGUUUCCAGUUUCUGGCCGCUACAAAGAGGCCGCCACAAGUAUUCCUGCACAAACAGGUUCCUUCCCCUUCUUUAAAAUUCUCUCUCUCUGGUAUAUAUAUAAGCCCGGUAGAAACACUGCUGGGUCAAAGGCUAUUUCCCUUUGAGAAUAGUUCCAAAUUGUUCUCGAAAGCGGUUGGAUCAGUUCCACCAACAAUGCAUCAGUGUCCCAGUUUUCCCGCAUCCCCUCCAACUUUCGUCAUUAUCUUUUCCUGUCAUCCUAGCCAAUCUGAGAGGUGUGGAGUGGUGUCUCAGAGCUGUCUUAAUCUGCAUUUCUCUGAUCAAUAUUCAAUUAGAGCACUUUUUCACACUAGAAAUGGUUUGAAUUUCUUCAUCUGAAAAUCGACCAUUUAUCCUUUGGAGAAUGGCUGGAAUUAAGAUCCCUUCUUUUUUUAACUUUCUGGGUUCUUUUUAUUAAAAUGUCUCCCUGUUCUAAGCCCCCUCCCCCAGCCCUGAC